rnacentral:rRNA from 1 species
GUGAGGAAUAUUGGUCAAUGGGCGAGAGCCUGAACCAGCCAAGUCGCGUGAAGGAUGAAGGAUCUAUGGUUUGUAAACUUCUUUUAUAUGGGAAUAAAGUGAGGAACGUGUUCCUUUUUGUAUGUACCAUAUGAAUAAGCAUCGGCUAACUCCGUGCCAGCAGCCGCGGUAAUACGGAGGAUGCGAGCGUUAUCCGGAUUUAUUGGGUUUAAAGGGUGCGUAGGUGGUUAAUUAAGUCAGCGGUGAAAGUUUGUGGCUCAACCAUAAAAUUGCCGUUGAAACUGGUUGACUUGAGUAUAUUUGAGGUAGGCGGAAUGCGUGGUGUAGCGGUGAAAUGCAUAGAUAUCACGCAGAACUCCGAUUGCGAAGGCAGCUUACUAAACUAUAACUGACACUGAAGCACGAAAGCGUGGGGAUCAAACAGGAUUAGAUACCCGGGUAGUCC